rnacentral:rRNA from 1 species
UUUGGGACAACAUUUGGAAACGAAUGCUAAUACCGAAUAUUCCUUUUCCUCGCAUGGGGAACUGGUAAAAGGCCCGUUUGGGUCGCCAAGAGAUGAGAGUGCGGUACAUUAGUUAGUUGGUAGGGUAAUGGCCUACCAAGACGAUGAUGUAUAGCGGGGUUGAGAAGCUGAACCGCCACACUGGGACUGAGAUACGGCCCAGACUCCUACGGGAGGCAGCAGUAGGGAAUAUUCCACAAUGAGCGAAAGCUUGAUGGAGCGAUACAGCGUGCAGGAUGAAGGUCUUCGGAUCGUAAACUGCUGUUAUAAGGGAAGAAAAACCGGUGUAGGAAAUGACAUCGGCUUGACGGUACCUUAUCAGAAAGCACCGGCAAACUAUGUGCCAGCAGCCGCGGUAAUACAUAGGGUGCAAGCGUUAUCCGGAAUCAUUGGGCGUAAAGCGUCUGUAGGUGGUCUAUUAAGUCUGAAUUUAAAGCCUGGGGCUCAACCCCAGUUCGGUUCGGAUACUGAUAGACUAGAGUUAUAGAGAGGUAAGUAGAACUCCAUGUGAAGCGG